UGAGUACGAGCUGCUACGGCAGCGAAGUGGGUGAUGUCAAGCUUCCAAGAAAAGCCCUAUACCCGUUAAGGCAUGAUGGCCUGUACCCGAAACCGACACAGGUAGGGUGGUAGAGAAUACCGAGGGGCGCGAGGUAACUCUCUCUAAGGAACUCGGCAAAAUGGCCCCGUAACUUCGGGAUAAGGGGUGCCACCGCAAGGUGGUCGCAGUGAAGAGGCCCAGGCGACUGUUUACCAAAAACACAGGUCUCCGCUAAGUCGCAAGACGAUGUAUGGGGGCUGACGCCUGCCCAGUGCCGGAAGGUUAAGGAAGCUGGUCAGCGUAAGCGAAGCUGGCGACUGAAGCCCCGGUGAACGGCGGCCGUAACGAUAACGGUCCUAAGGUAGCGAAAUUCCUUGUCGGGUAAGUUCCGACCCGCACGAAAGGCGUAACGAUCUGGGCGCUGUCUCGGAGAGAGGCUCGGCGAAAUAGAAUUGUCUGUGAAGAUGCGGACUACGUGCACCCGGACAGAAAGACCCUAUGAAGCUUUACUGUAGCUUGGUAUUGUGCCCGGGCUCGCAAUGCGCAGGAUAGGUGGGAGGCUUUGAUCAUCGGCUUGCGGGUCGAUGUGAGCCAACGGUGAGAUACCACUCUUUGCGAGCUAGGGUUCUAACGGUCACCCGUUAUCCGGGGACCGGACAGUAUCAGGUGGGCAGUUUGACUGGGGCGGUCGCCUCCUAAAAGGUAACGGAGGCGCGCAAAGGUUUGCUCAGGCUGGUUGGAAAUCAGCCGACGAGUGUAAAAGCAGAAGCAAGCUUGACUGUGAGACCUACAAGUCGAACAGGGACGAAAGUCGGCUUUAGUGAUCCGACGGUUCUGAGUGGAAGGGCCGUCGCUCAACGGAUAAAAGUUACUCUAGGAUAACAGGCUGAUCUCCCCCAAGAGUUCACAUCGACGGGGAGGUUUGGCACCUCGAUGUCGGCUCAUCGCAACCUGGGGCUGAAGUCGGUCCCAAGGGUUGGGCUGUUCGCCCAUUAAAGCGGUACGCGAGCUGGGUUCAGAACGUCGUGAGACAGUUCGGUCCAUAUCCGGUGCACGCGCAGGAACAUUGAGAGGAUUUCUCCCUAGUACGAGAGGACCGGGAGGAACGCACCUCUGGUGUACCAGUUAUCGUGCCAACGGUAAACGCUGGGUAGCCAUGUGCGGAGUGGAUAACCGCUGAAAGCAUCUAAGUGGGAAGCCCACCUCAAGAUGAGUGUUCCCAUGGCGUUAGCCAGUAAGGUCACGGGAAGAACACCCGUUGAUAGGCUCUACGUGGAAGCGCAGUAAUGCGUGAAGCGGAGGAGUACUAAUAGACC
rnacentral:rRNA from 1 species